AUGGUAAAGUUAGAAAGGGCGCACGGUGAAUGCCUUGGCACUAGGAGCCGAUGAAGGACGGGACUAACACCGAUAUGCUUCGGGGAGCUGUAAGUGAGCUUUGAUCCGGAGAUUUCCGAAUGGGUAAACCCACUGUUCGUAAUGGAACAGUAUCUUUAUCUGAAUACAUAGGAUAUUGAAGGCAGACCCGGGGAACUGAAACAUCUAAGUACCCGGAGGAAGAGAAAGCAAAUGCGAUUUCCUGAGUAGCGGCGAGCGAAAAGCAAUUAGCCCAAUCCAAGAGGCUUGCCUCUUGGGGUUGUAGGACACU
rnacentral:rRNA from 2 species